UCUGGGUUCUACCCCAGCCACCUAGAAUUAAUGUCCUGGUAGGUGGUGGAAUGACUCAGCGGAAAGAAAAUGCAUAAUUGCAGUCAGCAAGUUUACUUCCUUCUGGGGAACAAAUGAUUAAGUCAGAGCCAUGUGGCCCAUAAAAUGAAAUGAUGACAUGCAAAUGGAAAGGAGCAUUAGGAACAAAUACAGCUUGAACUGCUCUACAAGACCAUCCAACAUAGUGAUCAGGAUCCACUGCAAAGGUUCACUUGGACUAGCAGAGAAAUGCAUUCAGACCACUCUAAUGUACCCUAGUGGGCCAGAUUGGCCCACAGUGGGCCAGCAUCAGAGGAGUACCAAGUGUGCAUUUUUCAAGGCCGAGAUGUUGGGCUGCUUUUCAACUGCACCAUAUAAAAUAACAAACACGCAGUCUAAGGAAAACAAUUUUUAAGACACCGUGGAACCCACUUUAAUGAAGAAAACUGUUAAAGGCAUAAAAACCCCAUGUGCCAAUGGCUAAACGUGCUGGAAGUGUGAACUGUUAAACCACCAAAAUUGUUAACACAUCAUACUGCUGGGCAAAAAACUAAAAAGGGAGCGAAACAGUUUUCUAACAUGCGACCAACGUUGCCUUUAUUGUUCACAUUCCUGCUGACAUAAAGUUUCCUGAUUUGUCCCUUGAGUCCAGAAAUACAGCGAAAGCGGGAAUGUUAAUUGUAUCUGCCCUGAUAAACUGCCCUCCCUGCUCAUAGCAGCCAAGAAUAGCUCCAAGGACUGGGUAGAGGGGUUGCCCUUUUAGAUUCAAUGGAA